rnacentral:misc_RNA from 1 species
ACACCCUCAACUCUUGCGGUUUGCCGUGAUGAGCUUGGACUUUUUGGAGGUUUGCUGGCCCGCAGUCAGCUCCUCUCAAACAGAUCAGCUUACCAGCGAUUGGUGGCGUCACAGGUGUGAUAACUAUCUACGCUUGUGGUCAUCUCCCAAGUAACCUUCAGCGAUGGAGGUUUGCUGGAGCUUAUAGAUGUCUCUCCUCAGUGAAGACGGCUUUUUGAAC